UACGUAGGGGGCGAGCGUUGUCCGGAUUUAUUGGGCGUAAAGAGCGUGUAGGCGGCCAGGUAGGUCUGCUGUGAAAACUCGAGGCUCAACCUCGAGACGUCGGCGGAAACCAUCUGGCUAGAGUCCGGAAGAGGAGAGUGGAAUUCCUGGUGUGAGCGGUGGAAAUGCGCAGAUAUCAGGAAGAACACCCGUGGCGAAGGCGGCUCUCUGGGACGGUACUGACGCUGAGGAGCGAAAGCGUGGGGAGCAAACAGG
rnacentral:rRNA from 1 species